UCAUUACUGAAGCAGUUAGGGUUGUAGCUGACUCUGUCAAAGGAGUACUGUGCUCGCUCUAUUCUUCUACUUUUCCCCCUGUGCACCUUUUGUAGGCUAUGAUAUCCAUCGUGUGUGAGUUCACGCUCAUUACCGGUUCAAGGGAUUGCUGGUUUACUCCGGCUGCUCUUGCCCUUCAUAUGCCUAUGUCUUUAUACACUCUUUACAAGUCUAGAAUGUCUUUUGUGGGUCUAUCGACCUAUAAACUUAAUACAACUUUCAACAACGGAUCUCUUGGCUCUCGCAUCGAUGAAGAACGCAGCGAAAUGCGAUAAGUAAUGUGAAUUGCAGAAUUCAGUGAAUCAUCGAAUCUUUGAACGCACCUUGCGCCCUUUGGUAUUCCGAAGGGCAUGCCUGUUUGAGUGUCAUUAAAUUCUCAAACCUUGAUCAGUUUUGCGACUGACUUCAAGGCUUUGGAUGUGGGAGUCUGCUGGAACUCUUUUGGUUCAGCUCUCCUCAAAUGCAUUAGCGGUUACUUGAUCCCCUUUCCUUGGUGUGAUAAUUAUCUACGCCUUUGAAAUGAUCAGCAUUGUAUCAGCUUCUAAUCGUCCAUUGACUUGGACAAUUACUUAAUUGACUAUUUGACCUC
rnacentral:rRNA from 1 species